GCUUGCUGCUGCUGCUGGCUAGAAACGGCCACCAGCUCCGGGGCCAUUUUCACGUCACCGCCGGCGACCUCGUCUGCAUCCAGCUGCCCGCUUGCUGUGAAGCUCCAGGGAUUCAAAUAAUUGCAAGCUCGCAGUGGUGAAUCAAUACUCACGAACAAAGCCACGGUGAUCAGAUGUAUCGCGAGUUGCUGACAAUUUUUGCUCCGUGGAGGGAGCUUUUCUCCGUGCCAAUCAUGCAUCAAAGUUAUAGCACAACUCAUUGACACAUCCCCGGAUUGCAAAAGUAGUUUGCUCCUGUUCUGGUGAUGGAGAAAGUGAGGAGGAUACUGAAGUGGUGGAGAGAGAAGAAGAAGCACGCGCGAGCAUGGCCGACACUUAGGUGGCAUGGCGGCCGGGUUUUUGUCACCGGAGGAGCUACGGUAACGAGUUGGAGUUGCCGGCGAGACCGCGAUAGUCAAGCCAGCGAGAUGGUGAGACCGCGAGAGUCAAGACGGCAAGCCGGGGAUCAGGUCUUACCCUCCCUGCUGCCUCUGGCCGCGGUGGCGAGGCAUGACACAGGUUCCUCUGGCGACGGUUCCCUGCUAACCAGGCAGGUGGAUGAGGUAUUAGAAAAACAUGGAACUGAGCUGAUUUAUUUUGUGUAGGUACAUAACUUUUGGCCUACUUGAACUUCAACUUUUCUGUUGGAGGAAGAACAUCACUUCUUCCAGAGAACUCUUCGAUUUCCGAGAAGAAUAUUUUGGAACACAUGUCAAAGAAGAAUAUAUACACAGUUUCAUGAGAUGAUGUUCAAUGAAAAAACACUUGUGGAGUAGCUGCAACACUUAGAACCAUGCUAUUAUGGUGCUUCACCUUCGUCUUUCCUUUAUGUGUUUGUAUCCAUUUUUGCGUUGGACAUUGUCUACUGACUGUAUGGGAGCAUGGCUGAUUGCGCUGGUUUACGAAUGGGCAUGGAUGAGAAGAUGCUUUUAGUCAAUAGAGAACUUGUGUUACCCCAGACCAAGCUCAUGUAUGGGGAAAUAGUUGAAGUGAGGUUUUCUCCACAUAUUACCUGAGAUAAUUUACAAGUUGGCUAGACCGUGUAGUAGUAACUUAUGCUGUAAAUAUGAGUUUUGAUGCAAUAAAUUCAAGUUUGAAUCAAA